AGAAAUAUACAUACGGGCUUAUAAGAAUCCUCCAGUUACCUGAGCAUCAGAUGCGACUUCCUCUGCCCAUAUUUCCUUGCAUGGGCAAAUCGCCGAACAGGUACCGUGCGUUCCAUGGGAAGCGCAAACAACACCAGCAGAUCGAAGAGCAACGCGGCAAGGGCCGCUACAUCUGCGUCCCCGAUUCAACGGCGACGCGACGACAGCUUGUGGCGGCGGCGGUGAAGGCCGUGGCAACCUGCACUCCUCCACGCGGUGGCAGCAGCGGGCUCGUGCAGCAAGGAAGGCGGCAGAGCCGUGCAGCCCUGUGCGCGUCUAACGUCUCGAUCGCUAGGCAGGAUUUUGGGAGCUUAGCUGUAUCUCCCGGCCUCUAUAUCAAGAUUCCAAGAUCAGUAAAAUUUGUCAAGAGAAGCAAAAGCAAAUCCAUGAAUUUAAUGGAAGAGCGAUGAUGAGACACUUUACCUCUUCCCCGGUGGCUGAUGUCAACUUGUCCAGCCGAAGGAGCAUUUGGAACGAGAGAAACCGCA
rnacentral:lncRNA from 1 species